AUAGUCUUAGCUUUUUGUUCUUUACAUCAAAAAAUUGGAGUGUAAUUGAUGACCACUUGAGAAAAGUUUUUGGUCUUAUUGAAGGGCUUUCUGAGUUUCUCAUGAAGACCACUGAGAUUUUGGGAUGGAUCUUGAGUAUUAGCUCAUUCAAAUCAAGAAGAGAAGUAGGUACUAGCUAGGUAAGGUUUUAGGCUCUGAUCUUUAAGAGAUUCAGAUAUCAGAUCAGAAAAGAAAAACUAGGCUGGGGGUUAGGCUUAGGAGGUGUAAUUAGCUAGUGAAAUAGGCUAAACAAAGUGGAACAAGGUGUUAACCCUAACUAAUAGCACUUUCAUUUCCUCAUUAGGCUUAAAUGAGAGAGCGGUACACUAAAAUAGUAAUCAUCUGAUUUCUCACUGCUCCUCCCUAGCUUCUGCUGAUCUUAGUAGAAACAACUCGGUUGGGAAAAUUCCGAAGCAAUCGGAGGCAAUUUCUGGUGUUUAGCGACAAACACCCAAGCUGAAAACACCUCAAAUCAAACAAGAGAAAUAAGGAAUCGAUGAGAAGAAGAGAAGAAAUUGAAAACCCAAACGAUCCAGACGGAGCUGAAUUGCAUGUAAGGAGCUGCAAAUGACGAGGCGAUACUGAAGCGAAGAAUGGGCUUCCACAGUCCGAUGCUUUUUGGUGUCACUCUGGAAGAAGGGGUUGAGUGUGUUUUUGGGACUCCAGAGUCUCAGUUAAUAGAGUCCCGAGUGAUGCCAAACACGGGAUAAGUCUUGUCAUAUGAGAUAAGCCUAUCCUAUCCCAUCCAGUCCCAUGUAACAAACCAUAGAUAAGUUAUUUCUCAAGUCCCAGUUGGCCAAACAGAAGAUACUGAAAUGGAAGACUCGGCACAAUCCAGAGCAACUCCCACAAUUGAAUUGCAUGGCGAUGAAUUCUGGCCACUUUCAGGGAAACCUUUCUUUGAUAUCAUAUUCACAAAAUCCCAUGUCAAACCCCUUUACCAAAUGGAGAUCCCAGCCAAACUGAAUCCAGUAUUACCCGCUGGUGCUUCAUUUCCUAUGGUUCUCAGCUUUGGGGACAAGAGCUGGGAGAUGAUAUAUAAUGAAACAAAACGUCUUAAAUUAGUGGAUCGACAAUCUUGGAGAGCAUUUGUCGAUGACAACAGUCUGAAGGCUGGAGAUGGAUGUAUUUUCGAACUAACGGGGUGUGACAGUACAAAAGUAGUAUUCAAGGUCCAAAUCCUCAGAGGUGACAUCCCAGCUGAGCUAGUAGAGAAGUACUCCAGCGAGACAGAGAAACCCAUUAUUAUAUAAUGAUGUUUCCUUUCCGUGGAUGUACCAAUUUCCUGACUCAGAAUUGAUCAGGAGCUAAUAUAAUGUAAAGAGCUCAGUAGAGCCUAUUCAGAGUACUGCUACAUUUUAAUAUGUUUAGAGCUAGAGAGGUGACAUCCAAGCUGAGCUUCUAAAGAAGUUCAUCGGUGAGGCAGAGAUCGAGUGAAUUUCUUGUAAUGUAAGGAGAAACUUGUGGAUGAAGAGUCUACUUCAAGUUAUAUAUAACCUCUUAUUAGUUAUAAUUUGUUAGGGAUAACAUCUACUGUCAUUUAUAAUUUAUCUGUGGAAAGAUUGCUUCUACCAGUCUUUAGGAAGAAUUAGAUGGGAUGAUGGGCUAGGGGUUAGGGAUAACAUCUACUGUCCCCAGUAAAAUGAACAAAACUAAGCCCUGAUCACCCUGGUCUAGUGAACCAGGCAUCUUAAGCCUUCAAAAAUAGAUGGUCUCAAAAGUCUGACCAUCAUGAACUAACCAUGGUUAAAUUUUAACCAUAGUAAUUUAACCAUAGUCCAGAUGUUUGUAUUCAUUCGAGACCACCUAGAAAAGUUCAACCAUGGUCCGGAUGUCUAUAUUUAUUCGAUACUACCUGAAACCACCAUGGUCCGGAUGUUUGUAUUCGAGACCCCCUAUACUUUUUCAGUCAGCCUUUUAUCAUAGCACUCUUCUGGCAGUUCUCACUUCUCACCACAGAUCAUAUUCAAAGGUAGUACUAUAUUAAGUCUCAGUUGGCGAGGUAGAAGAUUCUGAAAUGGGAGACUCAUCGGAAUCUUUAUCAACUGCCAUGAUUGAAUUGCUUCCCUGAAAGUGGCCAAAAUUCAUCCUCUGUGCAAUUGAAUCGCAAAGAUGGAUUUUGGCCAUUUCAGGGAAGCUUUUCUUUGGUAUCAUUCACGCAAAAUCACAUUUGAAACCCAUUUGCCUACUGAUCCAUAUGUAAAUAAGGUGGUAUGAUAUCCUUCUGUGUCAUUUUCUUUACUUUUGAUGAGGGUUAGCAUUAUCGUAGUCGCUGGUUCUAUUACUGGACCUUUUUACAAUAUCAUGAGAUAAUGUUUUCUUCAUAAGUACUGCAUGUGAUAAUGCCCUGUUUUUAAUGCAUUUGAAAUUGUCCUGCCGUUUGCUUAGGAAUAUCUUAAAUUAAAACAUGCCAUAUGUUGUGUCUAAAAUAGAAUUAGUUGUGGAUAAUAAUGUUAUAAACAUUGGAUCAAGUUAAGAUUGCACUUAUGUGGAAAAGCAAACAAAGAAGAAUAUGGAGCCUCAAAUUGAUCCCAGUUUCGGUUUAUAUGGUGUAAAUAGGAUUAAGGUAGAUACUCUUCAUAGUCAAGUGGUGCAUUAUUAUCUGGAUCAUGAUACAUUUCUCCUUAUUUAUAAUAUCACGGAGUCCUUAAAAUUGUGAGCAAAAUCAGGUUGAAAGUAAUAAGGAAAACUUAUGGAUGGAGAGAGUUUUCAGUGAGACAUAAUGUCUUGCCUUACAUCUUGUGAGAGGAUAACAUUUACUGUCAAUAGUAGCAUGUAGGAAAUUUUUAGAGGAAAGUUUACCUCUAACAGCAAUGCCAGGAGCCUUGGAUGAUGCAUAUGAUGGUCAAGAAUGGGAUUGAUGGUUCACCAGUUUAGAGAUUAAUUGAAGGUGAUGCUCAAUAUGUUAUGACUGAGGUUGACUUUAGCAAGGAAGGUUCGCUCUUGGAUGAGAUAAGGUUGCUUAUUCAGUAAUUGCAUUCUACGGUUCUACUUGAUGGUGUUUCUCUCUUAGGUGUCGUGUUAAGGUGGCACACCAUUUUGCUAGGAUUGCACUUCAUUUGCAUGAACCUUUGUUGUGUUUAGAAGCUCCAUGGCUUUCAUGUUUUGCUAAUGAUGUUAUUGAGUUUUGAGUUCAAUGGAUUUUAUUCACUUUUUCAUGAUAAAAGAAAAAAUCUUAAGUUGAAUAUUAGAAUUUUGAAAUAUAAUGUAGGGGUUGGCUGCAUACCAGUUUGACAUGACUCGAACUAAAUGAAAAAGUUGAGGGAUUGAGACAUUGAGUGCACCGGUCCUUAGUACUUAUCCUAUACAAACUCUAAUAUGAGAUUAUCUGCUACUACGAAAUAAACAGAAUGAAUUAGUGAGCAAUAAGUAACUCAAUUUAAUUAAAAAGAAAGAAAACAGAACAAGAUCUUUUUCUUACUUUUUUGGCUAAAAUAGAACUUUUAUUUAUCAGAUGGCAAAGCACUUGCCUCUCAGAUCCCAAGUUUCUAUUCUGAUACACAGAACCACCUUCAUUUAAGUACUUACCAUACACCUCUCUACUAUUCGGCAUCUCUAACCAGAAGACCAUCUUCAGAGUUCUCACCUUCGCAGGCAGGAGCGGGGAGAUGACAUGGAAUGGAUCUCACAAAACUAGUAAAAGCUUUGAUAGAAAGUGAUGGAGAAUAUUUAUUGAUGACAACAAUUUGAGGCUUGGACAUGGAUGUGUGUUCGAACUUAUGGAGUGCAGCAUUACAAGACUACUAUUCAGAGUCCAAAUCCUCAGAGGUGACAUCCCAGCUGAACUUAUCAUCUGUGAGGAUGGGGAGAAAGCCAUUGUUUUGUAACAAUAUUGCCUUUUCAGGUAAUUUCUUGGCUGAUUUUCCUGAAAUGGGAGAUCCUGCAAGCCAAUCCUCCUCAUCAGAUCCCACGAUUGAAUUGCAUGGCGAUGAAUUCUGGCCACUUUCAGGGAAACCUUUCUUUGACAUCAUCCUCGCAAAAUCACAUGUCAACCCCAAAUGUCAAAUGUCGAUCCCAUCCAAACUACAUCCACUACUACUGUCCUGUUCAGUCCCUGUGGUUCUCACUUUUGGGGGCAAGACUUGGGAAAUGACAUGCAAUACAGCAAACAAUGCUCAGAAGUUCUUUGAUAGACCGUCGUGGAAAGCAUUUGUUGACGACAACAAUCUGAAGGUCGGAGAUGGGUGUGUGUUCGAACUUACGGAGUGCAGCAGCACAAAGCUGGUAUUUAGAGUCCAAAUUCUCAGAGGUGAAAUCCCAGCUCAACUUCUAGACAAGGACACUCUGGUGGCAAUCAAGUUUGGGAGAACUCUGUUUAUAGGGGGUACGAAGAGCAAAGAACCGUUUUUUGUUUCAUAUAGAAAAGAAUAGCGUUUCAAAUAGAAACGUAGAUCCUUAAGCCCUUCGGACUCGGCACCUCUGAGUGAUCUUCUAAGGUAUUUCUUCGAAUUCGUCUACAUUUUCUGGGUCUGAACUCGUAUGCCUAAACGCCAAUACCUUUGUUCUUUUUCACUUUCACAUUUUCAUUCACCAUGCAUUUUUUGGUGACAACAUGCAUUUGUCCAUUGCAUGAAUGUUAGCCAUGUAAAAGAUAUUAGCUCCCUUCUGUAAUGCGUGAGAUAUUUGCUCUCAAGCUUUGUGGGUUUCAGACUUGAGACAUUGAUGUUUGUGGUUGUUCUGUUUUUGUUUGUUACAUGCACUUUCCUCUGAUAUUCAUAUAGGUAGAAUGCUGGUAGUAUCCGUUUCUCUCUUCAAGAAAGGAUUGUCGUUGUAAUACUAAGAUUAACGACUAGAUAAUGACUCGAAGACUUUCCCCUUUUUCAAGAAAGGAUGUGGUGAUGAUAUAGAUACCACAUUUUUUUUAAGUACAGUCCUACAGGAACCAACCUUGGAAACUUACCAACUGAUUGGUUGCAGAGUAAAAUCUCCGAUUAUCAUUCUAAUGAUCGGGACAAAAAUUCGAAGACAAGCACCUGAUGUCUACCUUUUGUACACAUUUAUAUAGGAAAUUUCAAAAGUUGCCAUGUCGCUUCGAUCCAGCUCAGUUCAGUAAGUUCAGGAAUUUGGUAUAGUGUAGUAUCGAAAAAGUUGCAGCUUCUUUGCUUGUGUUGUUAUCUUCCGAGAGUUGAUGUCAGGGAGAAACGAAUUGGAGGUGAUUCAUUCAUUCUGAGGGAUUCACCUAUUUGGAAAAAUAAAAUAUUUUACAGUAAUGUUGGCACUCAUAAUACCUUGAAUCAUACUUGGACCUAGUGUCAAGAUUUGAUGAACCUAAAGCUACAAAUAGAAAUUGCUUCUUCUCUGAUUAGAUAUGGCUCGAAUGCUGAUCCGCGUUCAGUCAACAGUCAACCGUGUUCAAGAUACUAGGGAAGUUUUGUUGAGCCUAUAUGAUUUCUUGUUGGUCACAGAAGAGUUUUCUACAAAUGUUGUAUUCAAAAAUGCUGCAUUGAUAGGUAGAAUAAUUAUGUGCAGGUUCUGCUGGGUGAAACUCCUGAUUAUAAAGGAGAAACUGACGGUUAUGUUUGUGUUAUGUGAUAAAAACGGAUGUGCCGUAUAGUCUUUUAUUGACAUUAUCCAUGUUUUUGACAUUGAACUUUCUUCGCUUAAGUCAGCUGCUGGGUCAUUCUUCUCAAAACAUGGGCUAAGUUUGUCAAAAUUACGUGCAAAUGGUUCAAUGGACAUAUUAUUAUGAAGAGAAGAUUCAAGGUCUUCAAAGUCUCACCUGGGCCCUUGCUGAGGAAAGAUUGUAGGUUGCAGUCUUAUUCCGCUACUAUCUACUCGAACAGCUUCUUCCACUUGGAUUACAAUGCUCUUCAUAACGUGUUGCGGUGUUGAUAAAUGCCUAUCAUUCAAUUUACUGAUGUUUCACUUUGGAGUAUGGAGUUCUGGAUGCUUAUAUGGUUAAGGUCUCAGAAAUAACUUUAGAUUGGAAAGCUAUAUGGAGUUGAUAUGUGUUGUAAUCUUGACGUCUUUUGCCUUGCUAGUGUAUUCUCUUAGGCUUGACUGAGUACUUCUUGUCCUCUAUUGUACUUUGUUACAGUUUCUUCUCCAAAAAUCAGUGGUCAGUCUGGUAUCGCCAGUCUAAAUAUUGUCAACUAAUGACCAUCAAGGCAUCAACAGACUGUUGAUGCAAU